rnacentral:rRNA from 1 species
AUACGGAGGGUGCGAGCGUUAAUCGGAAUUACUGGGCGUAAAGCGUACGUAGGCGGUUGGUUAAGUUAGAUGUGAAAGCCCCGGGCUUAACCUGGGAACUGCAUUUAAAACUGGCGAACUAGAGUUGAGUAGAGGGGAGUGGAAUUUCAGGUGUAGCGGUGAAAUGCGUAGAGAUCUGAAGGAACACCAGUGGCGAAGGCGACUCCCUGGACUCGAACUGACGCUGAGGUACGGAAGCGUGGGUAGCAAACGGGAUUAGAUACCCCAGUAGUCC